rnacentral:lncRNA from 1 species
AAAAACUACACCUAGGAGUAUUGAACCCACUACCCUAAAGAUCUAGAAGUCACUCCUCUCCACCAGGCCACUUACCAACUAAUUGUUAUUUUAAUACUAAUUUAAAUAUAUAAACUAAAAUAAAUUAAAAAGGAUUAAAAUAAAAAACUAAAUAGAAAGAGGACUGUUAGUCUACUAGUAAUCAAACCCAGCCGCAUGGCUGUUGGGUUUACCAAGAGGAAUAGAUUGGAAACCUAAAACAUUUAUUAACUAACUAAUUAAAAGAAUCUUUUUUCAUAAUGUUUUUCUCUUUAAAACUAAUUAUUCUAUUUAAUAAAAAAAUGAAAAAAGAAAAUAAAGAAAGAAAAACAAAAACGGAUCUGUCUCUCUCACAAAGCUCGCUCUUCUCUCUCUCGCGAUGCUCUCCACCUCAAACUCCCGUCUUCCUCACGAA